GACGAACGCUGGCGGCGUGCCUAAUACAUGCAAGUAGAACGCUGAAGGAGGAGCUUGCUUCUCUGGAUGAGUUGCGAACGGGUGAGUAACGCGUAGGUAACCUGCCUGGUAGCGGGGGAUAACUAUUGGAAACGAUAGCUAAUACCGCAUAAUAGCAGUUGUUGCAUGACAACUGUUUGAAAGGUGCAAUUGCACCACUACCAGAUGGACCUGCGUUGUGUUAGCUAGUUGGUGGGGUAACGGCUCACCAAGGCGACGAUACAUAGCCGACCUGAGAGGGUGAUCGGCCCCUCUGUGAAGGACUCACGGCCCAGUCGCCUACGGGUGGCAGCAGUAGGGAAUCUUUGGCAAUGGACGGAAUUCUGACCGAGCAACGCCGCGUGAGUGAAGAAGGUUUUCGGAUCGUAAAGCUCUGUUGUAAGAGAAGAACGAGUGUGAGAGUGGAAAGUUCACACUGUGACGGUAUCUUACCAGAAAGGGACGGCUAACUACGUG
rnacentral:rRNA from 1 species